GGGCCGCGCAGGGCCCCGCGCCACAGAACGCGCCUGCGCGUCCCACCCGGUCCCAUCGGGUCCGCCGCAGGGCCGGAGGUCGCGCUCGCGCGCCGCCUGCUGGACGCGCGGAGAGGAGCCGGCCAACGCAGGCCCAGCGGCCUUGGUAGUGCGCUCGGACCGAAGAAGAACCUCCUACUUAGAGGGACCUGCGGGUCCACUUAACGCAGACUCCCCGCGGCAUCACUGUCCUGCGAGCUCUGAGCGCUAGAAGCUGCACUUGGUGAUGUCCAUUCGACGUGCUGGAUCUGAAAGUGUUUGUCCAAGCGCUGCGCAGCAGCCGCGCCCCUGCUAUUUGGUCUGGCCGCUUUUUGCUCCCCUACUGGGUUCUCGCUGUGCUCAGACACAGUGGCGUGGCCAGUCCCAACUUCUUGGUGGACUCUGGCUGUGCCCCUGGCCGAAGGCUUCCUCCCUUCGGGGACAGAAGCAUUCCCGCGGGUAAGGGACAGCUGCUGCUGGGAAUAUUGCAGCCCUGUAACUUUUGCAUUAAGCCCAGGGAUUCUCUAAAACCAUCUGACCUCUCGCCUCCACCCCACAGGUUAGUUAAAUGGGGUUGUGAUAGACACCUGCCCAAGGGCGUGGCACUAAUCUCCGAGGCACCUCCCCCUGCGUGGCGUUGCCCGUUGCCCAUUGCCCAUUGCCGGGGUAGGUGUACUUCCCCAGAGGAAAUACGGGGACUGUGCUCGAGGCGGAGCUUAGUGCAGAGAGCGCUGAGAACUGGGCACCAGCUACUGCAAGGAUCUGUGGGCUCCCUGGCCCCACUGAGAGUCGAACUUGAGUUAAGACCACACGUCAUCUGAUGGUGUAAACCCUCUCUGAUGGGGCAUCUGUGUCCCCUGGAAUGAGCAACCAUUUAAAGGCAGCGUCUUGUGAUUCCAGAGCUGCGUGCCCACCUCCUUCCUCUGGGUCACAGUACUCUCCUGGCCCCUCUGGGGGAGGCCUGGAGACCAGCUGCUCUUACCUGCAGCAGUGCUUUCUGGGUUCUGUCCAGAUCCUGAGCUCCAGGUUUGUGACUUAUGCCUGGAAACAGGGUAGAGGCCGAGUCAAAUCCAUUGUGGUGACUUAAGUCAGGUUUUGGCCACCAGGCCUAGACCGUCUCUGUGCACAGAGUGAGCAGUGUUCUAGGGGACUGCCCACUUCUUUUGCUCCCAGGGACCAUCUGAGUAGCUGGGGUUCCUACAGGCCAGGACACUGAGUACCAGGCUGGCUGCUUGCUACAGGGCUUGCCCACCUCAGCUUCAGCAGCUCUGGGUCACAUCAUCCCUGUGACAUCCAGAGCCCAUCUCAACAAUGGCACUCCAUCCCCAUGGUGAGCUUGGCAGCAGGCCCAGAACUGAUGGGGAGGCCUCCUGUCACUUGUGGGGUCCCAGGUGGUGUCAGCCACAUGCAAAGGUUGUGUCUUCGACCUGUCUAGUUGGGGUGUAGGUGUGCAGGUCACACUGGAUGGACCCAGAUCAACAGUCGUCUCUCUGUGGACCUCUGUACUCUGGUCCUCACAAUGCCAGGGACACUCCAGCAUCUCACACUCACCCACUGAGUCCCCUGUUGAGUCCGAAUUUCAGUCAAUCCAAAAAGCAAGCUGUGGCGGGCUCCAAGGGCGGGUCUAGGGGCUGGGUGCACGGAUGGGCAGUGGGCACACCUGCCUCAGGAAUCCAGCUCCAUCUGGGCUCUGUCUCAGCCUCCUGUCUCACACCCUGGAAUCCACUUCCACACAUAACUAACUCCCCAGGUCUCUGCCAACAUAGAUUUGAAAAUCUUUGAAUUCUUGUAGUCUGUAAACCGGGGUUUGGCAACUGCACCCUGUAAGCCAGGUCUGGCCUGGAGCCUACUUUGUUUUAUACAGCCUGUGAGCUAAGAAUGGUUCACAUUGGAAAGGGUUGAGAAACACACACACCCUGCCACCACCAAGACGGAGGAAGGAGGAAGAGGAGGAGGAUAGGAAGUGGACAGAGAUCCGUGUGUUGUGCAGAGCCUUAGCUGUAGACUAUUUGGUCCUUACAGAAAAAGAACCCCAGCCCUGCUCGGAGUGGUUUCCUGCAGUGUCCCAGGGGCCCUGCUCUGAGGGUUCACCGCAGGCUGUGGAGCUCCUUGAGGAAGAUGGGAACCCCUGGAGGACUUGCAAAUGUGGGGUGCCAGUCCCUUGGGCCACUUCUACUAGGGCCACGGGAGAGGCUGUGAGUGGCCUGGGAGACUCAGGAGGUCAGCUUUUGUUGAGAUUCAGCACUGCCCUUUGAGUUCAGGGUCAUCUUUCUAUCAAGGCCCCAACUUUGAAGCCAGGAAGCUGGCGAGGGUGUGAGUGGUGCACGCCUAAGGUGUGGAGCCACAGUGGCAUCUGCCCAGGGGGAAUGGUCAUCCCUGCUGCCUGGGGCAAGGGUGGAGGAAACAGUGACUCCCAUAGGCCCAGGCCAGUGGCAGACAUUUCCACUGUCAAGGUCAGCAGUGCAGUGCAGUCUAGCCCCAGGUCAAGUCCAAAGCAAUGCCCAUUCCACCUCGGAAGACCUGCAUCCUGGAACCAGCCCUGGGACCAGACUUCUGUUUCGUGCGGUCCCGGUCGGCUGGCAGAAGCCACAGUGGUCAUGUGGACAGAGAGUGGGAGGGGAAGACCUCUAACCAGAAAAGGACUUGAACUAUUAAAAGGGCACAUGAGAACCCGAAGAAGACAGGGAUAGCAAACGGGGACAGAGAAGGGGGGGGAGGAAACAGGACCUGGGGGAACAAUCCGUCCAGGACAGGGCAGACCCUGCUGGAGGGCCCUGCAGCCUGCCGUGGGAAGGGAGCUGCCAAGGGUGAGAACCAGGGUCACCUGUGGGGAGACCACCAGUGGGCCACGGAACCCAGAGCGGGUGCGAUGGCCAGGAACUCCGCCAGGCAGCUGAGAGCGCGACUGCAUUUCCAUUGUCUGCAGUACACAGUGCUGUACCCCGCCCCGCCAGAUGCAAGAAGCAGCCACAGGUGGCAGAGCAGGUUGCCAAAGAGCAGGGCCAGGAGGGAGCAGGGCUGUAGAGCAGGUGCCUAAGGUUGAGGCUGGGCCCAUCCCCCGCACCCCGGACACAACAGAAAGGGAAGCCCCUGCCCCCGCUGGGCAGACCAAAAGCCCUUGUGGCCUGGCCCAUCGCCCGCUCAUGCCCAGCCCUGGCCUCUCAGCCUCUGCUAUUCCAGGUCCCUCCACCAAUCCCUGGCCCGAAGGCUCCUCACCAACAAGCCCACGGAAUCCAGGGCAGGUAUGGGAUCCACAAAUCCAGCUGGCCAGGUGGCUCUGGUGUGGCUCCCGGCGUCCACCUCUGCACUAUUCUCCAGCUGGAAUCAGCAAAGCCUUGAUAUCUGUGGGGGAGGCAGAUGGCCACUCAUCUCCCGGAUGCACCUGGGUCUCCCUCAAGUUAAGUGGAGGAGAGGAGGGGUGACGGCUCCCCCUUGAGGACUGAAGACUGGGAAGUCCCAGGGGAAGAGGCUCACGGACUUGGGUUCUGGUGAGGACCGGCUGUCGCUCUAGGUGGUGCCUUCAACGCUGCAUUCUCACCUGGUGGAAGGCAGAAGGUGAGACGGGCUGGAAGCUACCCGAAGGCCUUUCUGUAAGGGCCUUGGUCCUGCUUAGCAGAGGAGCUGCUGCUGCUGCUGCUGCUGCUGAUUUUUUUCUUCAGAGCUGGGGAUGGAACCCAGGGCUUCAUAUGUGCUAGGCAAAGUGCUCUGCCCCUGAGCAGCACCCCGGCGCUUUUUAAAUUUUAUUUUGAGACCGGGUCUAAGUUGCUUAGGGCAUGGCUAAGUUGCUUAGGUUGGGCUCCAACUUGCAAUCCUCUUGCCUUAGCCUCCUGAGUGGCUGGGAUAACAGGCCUGGCGACUGCUGUCAGUGCUUUUGAUAUAUUAUGAAUAUUGAACUUUAUCUGUCCCAUGAUUUGCAGACUUUCCCCCACUCCUGUAGGUUGUUUUCCACAGUCUUGAAGAUGUUCUGUGCAUGGAAACUUUUAUUUUUAUGAAUUCUAGUGUAUCAUUUCUUUUGUCAUGUGCUCUUGGUGUCAAAUCUAAGACUUAGUUGCUAUAUGUAAGGUCAUAAAUGUGCACCCCUGAAUUUUCUUCCA